rnacentral:rRNA from 1 species
AGGACGAACGCUGGCGGCGUGCUUAACACAUGCAAGUCGAGCGGAAAGGCCCUUCGGGGUACUCGAGCGGCGAACGGGUGAGUAACACGUGAGUAACCUGCCCCUAGCUUCGGGAUAGCUCCGGGAAACCGGAAUUAAUACCGGAUACGACGACGGCCGACAUCUGUCGUGGUGGAAAGGAUUCCGGCUAGGGAUGGGCUCGCGGCCUAUCAGCUUGUUGGUGGGGUAACGGCCUACCAAGGCGACGACGGGUAG